rnacentral:rRNA from 1 species
CGCCUUAUACUCCUACGGGAGGCAGCAGUGGGGAAUAUUGGACAAUGGGCGAAAGCCUGAUCCAGCCAUGCCGCGUGUGUGAAGAAGGUCUUCGGAUUGUAAAACACUUUAAGUUGGGAGGAAGGGCAUUAACCUAAUACGUUAGUGUCUUGACGUUACCGACAGAAUAAGCACCGGCUAACUCGGUGCCAGCAGCCGCGGUAAUACAGAGGGUGCAAGCGUUAAUCGGAAUUACUGGGCGUAAAGCGCGCGUAGGUGGUUUGUUAAGUUGAAUGUGAAAUCCCCGGGCUCAACCUGGGAACUGCAUCCAAGACUGGCAAGCUAGAGUGUGGUAGAGGGUAGUGGAAUUUCCUGUGUAGCGGUGAAAUGCGUAGAUAUAGGAAGGAACACCAGUGGCGAAGGCGACUACCUGGACUGAUACUGACACUGAGGUGCGAAAGCGUGGGGAGCAAACAGGAUUAGAAACCCCAGUAGUCCACGUACCA